UCGAGAAUCUUUCGCAAUGCCCGAAAGGGUGACGAAGCGACGCCGCGUGCGGGAGGAAGGCCUUCGGGUUGUAAACCGCUGUCGGGAGUUAAGAAAUGCAAGGAUGUUAAUAGCGUUCUUGCUUGACUAAGGCUCCGGAGGAAGCCACGGCUAACUCUGUGCCAGCAGCCGCGGUAAUACAGAGGCGGCAAGCGUUGUUCGGAAUUAUUGGGCGUAAAGAGCACGUAGGCGGCUGUGUAAGUCGGUUGUGAAAGCCUUCCGCUCAACGGAAGAACGGCAUCCGAUACUGCAUGGCUUGAGUGUGGGAGGGGAGAGUGGAACUUCUGGUGGAGCGGUGAAAUGCGUAGAUAUCAGAAGGAACACCGGCGACGAAGGCGACUCUCUGGUCCAUAACUGACGCUGAGUGUGCGAAAGCUAGGGGAGCAAACGGGAUUAGAUACCCCCGUAGUCCCUGAGCGGGCUGGCAAGGCGCAU
rnacentral:rRNA from 1 species